rfam:Schistosoma mattheei strain Denwood, Zambia genome assembly, scaffold: SMTD_scaffold0005087
AUCCAGCUGACGAGUUCAAAACAGAACGAAAGGCGCGUCCUCGAU